UACGGAGGGUGCAAACGUUGCUCGGAAUCAUUGGGCGUAAAGCGCACGUAGGCGGCGCGUUAAGUCGGGUGUGAAAGCCCUGGGCUCAACCCAGGAAGUGCAUUCGAAACUGGCGCGCUUGAAUAUGGAAGAGGGUCGCGGAAUUCCCGGUGUAGAGGUGAAAUUCGUAGAUAUCGGGAGGAACACCAGUGGCGAAGGCGGCGACCUGGGCCAAUAUUGGACGCUGAGGUGCGAAAGCGUGGGGAGCAAACAGG
rnacentral:rRNA from 1 species